rnacentral:rRNA from 1 species
UGCUAUACAUGCAAGUCGAGCGAGCCGAACUAAUUGAUUACCUUCGGGUAUGAAGUUAGGGAAGCGAGCGGCGGAUGGGUGAGUAACACGUGGGUAACCUACCCUAUAGUCUGGGAUACCACUUGGAAACAGGUGCUAAUACCGGAUAAAAGGAGAGAUCACAUGAUUCCUUUUUGAAAGGCGGCGUAAGCUGUCGCUAAAGGAUAGACCCGCGGUGCAUUAGCUAGUUGGUAAGGUAACGGCUUACCAAGGCAACGAUGCAUAGCCGAGUUGAGAGACUGAUCGGCCACAUUGGGACUGAGACACGGCCCAAACUCCUACGGGAGGCAGCAGUAGGGAAUCUUCCACAAUGGACGCAAGUCUGAUGGAGCAACGCCGCGUGAGUGAAGAAGGUUUUCGGAUCGUAAAGCUCUGUUGUUGGUGAAGAAAGAUAGUGAGAGUAACUGCUCAUUAUUUGCCGGUAAUCAACCAGAAAGUCACGGCUAACUACGUGCCAGCAGCCGCGGUAAUACGUAGGUGGCAAGCGUUGUCCGGAUUUAUUGGGCGUAAAGCGAGCGCAGGCGGAAAGAUAAGUCAGAUGUGAAAGCCCUCGGCUUAACCGAGGAAUAGCAUCGGAAACUGUCUUUCUUGAGUGCAGAAGAGGAGAGUGGAACUCCAUGUGUAGCGGUGGAAUGCGUAGAUAUAUGGAAGAACACCAGUGGCGAAGGCGGCUCUCUGGUCUGUAACUGACGCUGAGGCUCG